UUUGUUAGUUUUUUCAUACUCAUACUCAUAGUUUAUGUUCUUCUGGUUUUUUUUACUACAGUUUUUCUCAAUCCUGGUCCUGGGGACACUGAACAACUACACUCGGAGCCAGACCGGCCCAAGACAUAAGCGAACUAAGCGGCUGCUGAACAGCAGAUAGAUGCUGAGGUCGUUGUAGAACGGCGUGACCACGCCUAAAGAACCGAACCCUGGCAGUAUCUCAUACGGCCGCAGGAAGCACGUGCUCUGACGUGACGGUCCAAGAGUGGCGUACACCACCAGCGGAGCGAGAAGCACAUACACCACCAGGUUGAUGUAGCUGAGCAGCCUGAAGACGCCCACUGCCACCAGCUUGCACUGGACGGCGGACGGCACCGCGCUGUCGUUCUUCAGCACUCCCGUCCGCAGGUUGCAGGGAAACUCGUCUGUGAAGGAGGCCAGUUGGAUGUAAUAGCCGAGGUAGAUGCAGGCCAGCAGGAGGGUCAGCAGGGUCAGGCCUCGGCACACCAGCCAGCCGAUGACGUGAUGUUUACCUCUGCGUGUCCUCGGAUGUGUCUUUGCUGGACGCCAGGUUCUUCGCCAGCUUGAUGGAGCGAUUAUAAAAGCGGUCCAGCUCCUCCA